rnacentral:lncRNA from 1 species
UCCUUUUUCCUUUUUAUAGUCAACACCUCUCAAAACACUAUUACAAUUAGCAGUUUAGUUUUCAGAAUCUGAUACUUUUCGUCGGAGCCCUUCUGAAUGUCCGUUUGUGUUCAAAUUUGACAGUCAGGCUCGGUUUAACUUAAUAAGAACAAAAAAAUUUUAAUCUUUCAGUUUCGAUCAUUUUUGGUGACCGAAAGCUCUACCGACUAAAAAUCUCUAGCAGAUAGCAGUCCGAUUUUAUUUUUCACUUUCCGGGUGUCGGAAUGACAUGAAACUUUAAAUCUAAUCUCAUAAAAAUAAUCCCGACAUAUUCUCAGAUUUUCAUAAUUUUCGGACACUGUGAAUUUUCUGCUAAAAUAUCGGCCCCGUUCUUUAUAGAAAAUUUUAAAUCUUCUGUUUCCGUUCCGAUUUCAACACAAGUCAUUUCAAACUUAUAUUUUACUUCUUUAAGUCCAACAAAAAUAGUAUCUUAUACUAUUUUUAUUUACAUUUACCUUUAAAUUAAAAUUCAGCACAUUACACGAGGUGCCCCAAAGAGAGAUAUUUUGAUCUUUUAAUAUAUUUGUAAUUUAGUAAUUUUACCUCCACUAUAUUAUCAAAUCUCUUUUCUCUCUUUGUUUCCAUUUUCUCUUUCUAUCACUCCUUUUCAUCCACAGCAGGGAUGUAAAGGGUUCGGAUUCGGGCCGGAUUUUCAAAAAACGCGAGCCCGAAUCUGACUUUCAAACCCGAAACCCGAAUCGAAACCUAAAUCCGAAGAAUUUAAAAAAAUCAUAUCAACACCCCUCCCCAAGUUAAAAUUCGAAACCCGAACUCUAGCCUGAACCUGAAAAUUCGAACAAGAAAUAUUAUUCCUCUUUACAAUAUUUCAAAGUAUAUUAAAUUAAAUCUAAGUUUUGAAAAUACAUAUUCAAAUAUAACAUUAAACAUUUAUAUAUAAUAUAUAUAACGUAAAAUAAAUUUUGGUUCCGGUCAGUUUCAGGUUCGGAUCGAAUACAAUCAAAAUCCAUACCUGAAUUCAAAUCCAUCUGGUUUUCAUUUUUCAUAUCCAUAUCCGAAAAUAUAUCUAUCUAGCAUAGGUAAAUCAUUGCAUUCGCUUUCGGGUUUGGUUUAGGUUCAGAUAAAAUUAUUGUCUAAAU